rnacentral:rRNA from 1 species
AUUGAACGCUGGCGGCAGGCCUAACACAUGCAAGUCGAGCGGAGCGGCGGACGGGUGAGUAAUGCCUAGGAAUCUGCCUGGUAGUGGGGGAUAACGUCCGGAAACGGGCGCUAAUACCGCAUACUAUCAGAUGAGCCUAGGUCGGAUUAGCUAGUUGGUGGGGUAAAGGCCUACCAAGGCGACGAUCCGUAACUGGUCUGAGAGGAUGAUCAGUCACACUGGAACUGGAACACGGUCCAGACUCCUACGGGAGGCAGCGUGGGGGAAUAUUGGUCAAUGGGCGAAAGCCUGAUCCAGCCAUGCGGGGUGUGUGAAGAAGGUCUUCGGAUUGUAAAGCACUGAAAGUUGGGAGGCGUGACCAACAGAAGAAGCACCGGCUAACUCCGUGCCAGCCGCCGCGUAAUUC